rnacentral:rRNA from 1 species
GAUGAACGCUGGCGGCGCGCCUAAUACAUGCAAGUCGAACGCGCAGCGAAAGGUGCUUGCACCUUCCAAGCGCGUGGCGAACGGGUGAGUAACACGUGGAUAACCUGCCUCAAGGCUGGGGAUAACAUUUGGAAACAGAUGCUAAUACCGAAUAAAACUUAGUAUCGCAUGAUACAAAGUUAAAAGGCGCUACGGCGUCACCUAGAGAUGGAUCCGCGGUGCAUUAGUUAGUUGGUGGGGUAAAGGCUUACCAAGACGAUGAUGCAUAGCCGGUUUGGGAGACUGAUCGGCCAAAUUGGGACUGAGACACGGCCCAAACUCCUACGGGAGGCUGUAGGAGGGAAUCUUCCACAAUGGGCGCAAGCCUGAUGGAGCAACGCCGCGUGUGUGAUGAAGGCUUUCGGGUCGUAAAGCACUGUUGUAUGGGAAGAAAUGCUAAAAUAGGGAAUGAUUUUAGUUUGACGGUACCAUACCAGAAAGGGACGGCUAAAUACGUGCCAGCCGCCGCCGUAA